GGGUUGUGAGGUUAAGCGACUAAGCGUACACGGUGGAUGCCCUGGCAGUCAGAGGCGAUGAAGGGCGUGCUAAUCUGCGAUAAGCGCCGGUAAGGUGAUAUGAACCGUUAUAACCGGCGAUACCCGAAUGGGGAAACCCAGUGUGACUCGUCACACUAUCAUUAACUGAAUCCAUAGGUUAAUGAGGCGAACCGGGGGAACUGAAACAUCUAAGUACCCCGAGGAAAAGAAAUCAACCGAGAUUCCCCCAGUAGCGGCGAGCGAACGGGGAGGAGCCCAGAGCCUGAAUCAGCAUGUGUGUUAGUGGAAGCGUCUGGAAAGGCGCGCGAUACAGGGUGACAGCCCCGUACACAAAAGCGCAUGUGCUGUGAGCUCGAUGAGUAGGGCGGGACACGUGGUAUCCUGUCUGAAUAUGGGGGGACCAUCCUCCAAGGCUAAAUACUCCUGACUGACCGAUAGUGAACCAGUACCGUGAGGGAAAGGCGAAAAGAACCCCGGCGAGGGGAGUGAAAAAGAACCUGAAACCGUGUACGUACAAGCAGUGGGAGCACAGGUUUACCUGUGUGACUGCGUACCUUUUGUAUAAUGGGUCAGCGACUUAUAUUCUGUAGCAAGGUUAACCGAAUAGGGGAGCCGCAGGGAAACCGAGUCUUAACCGGGCGUUAAGUUGCAGGGUAUAGACCCGAAACCCGGUGAUCUAGCCAUGGGCAGGUUGAAGGUUGGGUAACACUAACUGGAGGACCGAACCGACUAAUGUUGAAAAAUUAGCGGAUGACCUGUGGCUGGGGGUGAAAGGCCAAUCAAACCGGGAGAUAGCUGGUUCUCCCCGAAAGCUAUUUAGGUAGCGCCUCGUGAAUUCAUCUCCGGGGGUAGAGCACUGUUUCGGCUAGGGGGCCAUCCCGGCUUACCAACCCGAUGCAAACUGCGAAUACCGGAGAAUGUUAUCACGGGAGACACACGGCGGGUGCUAACGUCCGUCGUGAAGAGGGAAACAACCCAGACCGCCAGCUAAGGUCCCAAAGUCAUGGUUAAGUGGGAAACGAUGUGGGAAGGCCCAGACAGCCAGGAUGUUGGCUUAGAAGCAGCCAUCAUUUAAAGAAAGCGUAAUAGCUCACUGGUCGAGUCGGCCUGCGCGGAAGAUGUAACGGGGCUAAACCAUGCACCGAAGCUGCGGCAGCGACACUGUGUGUUGUUGGGUAGGGGAGCGUUCUGUAAGCCUGUGAAGGUGGCCUGUGAGGGUUGCUGGAGGUAUCAGAAGUGCGAAUGCUGACAUAAGUAACGAUAAAGCGGGUGAAAAGCCCGCUCGCCGGAAGACCAAGGGUUCCUGUCCAACGUUAAUCGGGGCAGGGUGAGUCGACCCCUAAGGCGAGGCCGAAAGGCGUAGUCGAUGGGAAACGGGUUAAUAUUCCCGUACUUGGUGUUACUGCGAAGGGGGGACGGAGAAGGCUAUGUUGGCCGGGCGACGGUUGUCCCGGUUUAAGCGUGUAGGUGUGUGUUCCAGGUAAAUCCGGUUCACUUUAACACUGAGGCGUGACGACGAGGCACUACGGUGCUGAAGCAACAAAUGCCCUGCUUCCAGGAAAAGCCUCUAAGCAUCAGGUAACAUCAAAUCGUACCCCAAACCGACACAGGUGGUCAGGUAGAGAAUACCAAGGCGCUUGAGAGAACUCGGGUGAAGGAACUAGGCAAAAUGGUGCCGUAACUUCGGGAGAAGGCACGCUGACAUGUAGGUGAAGUGAUUUACUCAUGGAGCUGAAGUCAGUCGAAGAUACCAGCUGGCUGCAACUGUUUAUUAAAAACACAGCACUGUGCAAACACGAAAGUGGACGUAUACGGUGUGACGCCUGCCCGGUGCCGGAAGGUUAAUUGAUGGGGUCAGCGCAAGCGAAGCUCCUGAUCGAAGCCCCGGUAAACGGCGGCCGUAACUAUAACGGUCCUAAGGUAGCGAAAUUCCUUGUCGGGUAAGUUCCGACCUGCACGAAUGGCGUAAUGAUGGCCAGGCUGUCUCCACCCGAGACUCAGUGAAAUUGAACUCGCUGUGAAGAUGCAGUGUACCCGCGGCAAGACGGAAAGACCCCGUGAACCUUUACUAUAGCUUGACACUGAACAUUGAGCCUUGAUGUGUAGGAUAGGUGGGAGGCUUUGAAGUGUGGACGCCAGUCUGCAUGGAGCCGACCUUGAAAUACCACCCUUUAAUGUUUGAUGUUCUAACGUGGACCCGUUACCCGGGUUGCGGACAGUGUCUGGUGGGUAGUUUGACUGGGGCGGUCUCCUCCUAAAGAGUAACGGAGGAGCACGAAGGUUGGCUAAUCCUGGUCGGACAUCAGGAGGUUAGUGCAAUGGCAUAAGCCAGCUUGACUGCGAGCGUGACGGCGCGAGCAGGUGCGAAAGCAGGUCAUAGUGAUCCGGUGGUUCUGAAUGGAAGGGCCAUCGCUCAACGGAUAAAAGGUACUCCGGGGAUAACAGGCUGAUACCGCCCAAGAGUUCAUAUCGACGGCGGUGUUUGGCACCUCGAUGUCGGCUCAUCACAUCCUGGGGCUGAAGUAGGUCCCAAGGGUAUGGCUGUUCGCCAUUUAAAGUGGUACGCGAGCUGGGUUUAGAACGUCGUGAGACAGUUCGGUCCCUAUCUGCCGUGGGCGCUGGAGAACUGAGGGGGCUGCUCCUAGUACGAGAGGACCGGAGUGGACGCAUCACUGGUGUUCGGGUUGUCAUGCCAAUGGCACUGCCCGGUAGCUAAAUGCGGAAGAGAUAAGUGCUGAAAGCAUCUAAGCACGAAACUUGCCCCGAGAUGAGUUCUCCCUGAGACUUAGAGUCUCCUGAAGGAACGUUGAAGACGACGACGUUGAUAGGCCGGGUGUGUAAGCGCAGCGAUGCGUUGAGCUAACCGGUACUAAUGAACCGUGAGGCUUAACCUUACAACGCCGAAG
rnacentral:rRNA from 1 species